UGGUUUCCAUGGCAAGAAACACAGACACAAGGACCAGAAAGAAGCCAUGUUACAUUUCUGACUAUGAUCCUUAUUACCGACCUGGACCAGUCAAUGGAUCAUACCUGGGAGCUGUGGAGAGGAAUGUGUCUACCUUAAGAAGAUAUAUCCAAAACUACAAUUGGAAUAUCUCAGCGGAAAAACUGUGAUAAAAUAUCUUCAGAAGAGCAUGCACUGCUACGGACCCAGCACAGAGCAGAGGAAUUACCCAUCUGAGUAGAGAUCUCUACUUCCUCCUUCAAGCCACUGACUUCCUUCAUCUUGAUCCUCCCCCAAGAAGAAGUUGCUCUCCCAUAUCGAGGUACAGAGACAUUUCAGUCAUUCAAGUUCUGCUACGUGCUGGCUGUGAGGUUGCCAUGGUUUACUCAGAAAUGGAUCUUCUGGAUAUUCCAGAUUUUUGAGGUAAUGUGGG